GUGUCAGCCGCCGCGGUAAUACGUAGGGUGCGAGCGUUGUUCGGAAUCACUGGGCGUAAAGGGAGCGUAGGCGGGAUCGUAAGUUAGGAGUUUAAUACAUGGGCUCAACCCGUGAUAUGCUUUUAAUACUGCGGUUCUUGAGUAUGGGAGAGGGUGAUGGAAUUCCAGGUGUAGCGGUGGAAUGCGUAGAUAUCUGGAAGAACACCAGUAGCGAAGGCGGUCACCUGGCCCAAUACUGACGCUGAGGCUCGAAAGCUGGGGGAGCAAACAGGAUUAGAUACCCUGGUAGUCCCAGCCGUAAACGAUGGACACUAGUUGCCGGGAGAGUCAAUCCUUUCGGUGACGAAGCUAACGCAUUAAGUGUCCCGCCUGGGAAGUACGCCCGCAAGGGUGAAACUCAAAUGAAUUGACGG
rnacentral:rRNA from 1 species